rnacentral:rRNA from 1 species
AUUGAACGCUGGCGGCAUGCCUUACACAUGCAAGUCGAACGGUAACAGGUCUUCGGAUGCUGACGAGUGGCGAACGGGUGAGUAAUACAUCGGAACGUGCCUAGUAGUGGGGGAUAACUACUCGAAAGAGUGGCUAAUACCGCAUGAGAUCUACGGAUGAAAGCAGGGGAUCGCAAGACCUUGUGCUACUAGAGCGGCCGAUGGAAGAUUAGGUAGUUGGUGGGAUAAAAGCUUACCAAGCCGACGAUCUGUAGCUGGUCUGAGAGGACGAUCAGCCACACUGGGACUGAGACACGGCCCAGACUCCUACGGGAGGCAGCAGUGGGGAAUUUUGGACAAAGGGCGCAAGCCUGAUCCAGCAAUGCCGCGUGCAGGAUGAAGGCCUUCGGGUUGUAAACUGCUUUUGUACGGAACGAAAAGCCCUGGGUUAAUACCCUGGGGUCAUGACGGUACCGUAAGAAUAAGCACCGGCUAACUACGUGCCAGCAGCCGCCGUAAGAC